rnacentral:lncRNA from 1 species
AUGGGGAGAGAGUGGGAGAUCGGAAAGGAGCAGAGGAGGAGGGGGGUGCUGGGGCCCAGGCGGCGGGCGUCAAACGCCCAGCUUCCCCCGGGGACGCAGCGCAGGUGGGGCGGUGGCUGUCGCGGGAGGAGGGGGGGCGGUGGCCCGACCCUGCCCGGCCGGGCUCUGCUCAGCGGCCCGGCCGUAACAGCUGCGGACAGUCCCACAAGCUGUUUUCCUCGUGGCGACCAUUCAGCAAAACGCACGAUCCUUUCUCAAAGAUUUAAAUUUCGCGGAUGAAUUACCAUACACCGGUUGCUUAGCAACUAUAUUCAAGCAGGGCUAAGAAUAUGCAAGCUUUUUGUAUUCUCAUUAAUAAAAAUGCCACUCUGACACA